GACGAACGCUGGCGGCGUGCUUAACACAUGCAAGUCGAACGGAAAGGCCCUGCUUUUGUGGGGUGCUCGAGUGGCGAACGGGUGAGUAACACGUGAGUAACCUGCCCUUGACUUUGGGAUAACUUCAGGAAACUGGGGCUAAUACCGGAUAGGAGCUCCUGCUGCAUGGUGGGGGUUGGAAAGUUUCGGCGGUUGGGGAUGGACUCGCGGCUUAUCAGCUUGUUGGUGGGGUAGUGGCUUACCAGGGCUUUGAGGGGUAGCCGAGCUGGGAGGAGGACCGGAACCAGCGGACUGGGAAUGAGACACGGCCCACACGGGGAGGGGGGGGAGGAGAGGGGAACAUAGGGCACGGGGCGAAAGCCUGACACAGCCGUGCGGGGUGAGUGGGCAUGGGGUUAGUGAGCCAAUGCCCUUUGACACGAGAGGAGAAUGACAGUACCGGGAAAAGAAGCGCCGGCUAACUCCGUG
rnacentral:rRNA from 1 species